UACGUAGGUGGCAAGCGUUGUCCGGAUUUAUUGGGUUUAAAGGGUGCGUAGGCGGCUUUGUAAGUCAGUGGUGAAAUAUGGCAGCUCAACUGUCAAGGUGCCAUUGAUACUGCGGAGCUUGAGUACAGAUGAGGUAGGCGGAAUUGACGGUGUAGCGGUGAAAUGCUUAGAUAUCGUCAAGAACACCUAUAGCGAAGGCAGCUUACUAGGCUGUAACUGACGCUGAGACGCGAAAGCGUGGGGAGCGAACAGG
rnacentral:rRNA from 1 species